GACUACUGGGGUAUCUAAUCCUGUUUGCUACCCACGCUUUCGUACCUCAGCGUCAGUUCUAGUCCAGGGAGUCGCCUUCGCCACUGGUGUUCCUUCAGAUAUCUACGCAUUUCACCGCUACACCUGAAAUUCCACUCCCCUCUACUAAACUCUAGUCCGCCAGUUUCAAAUGCCGUUCCCAGGUUGAGCCCAGGGCUUUCACAUCUGACUUAACGAACCGCCUACGCACGCUUUACGCCCAGUAAUUCCGAUUAACGCUCGCACCCUCCGUAUUACCGCGGCUGCUGGCACGGAGUUAGCCGGUGCUUCUUCUAAAGGUAAUGUCAAGCUACCGGGUAUUGACCGGUAGGUUUUCCUCCCAAUUGAAAGUGCUUUACAACCCUAAGGCCUUCUUCACACACGCGGUAUUGCUGGAUCAGGCUUUCGCCCAUUGUCCAAUAUUCCCCACUGCAGCCCCCCGUAGG
rnacentral:rRNA from 1 species